GUCGGAUUGAGUACCCAACACCAAUGCAAACAGCAUCUGCUUAGAGAUAUAACAUGGCACGUAACCGUGCAUUUGCGUCAUUUGAAAGAAGAUCUUCAAGUUGACUGGAAUGCGAAGAUCUUCGUUCGAUCAGGCGACAGAAGGUAAUUUCGAAUGGUGUGAGAAUCACAAGACAAAAAAAAUCUUGCGAUUACGACAAGAAUAUACUAUGAACAAUGAGAAAAAGAACUUAAUAAAUAUAGACAAAUCGAAAGGGCAUCGACACUGAAACUCAGAACAUACGCCGAAUUAUAUAAGUGGAAUGAGGAUAGAACAUAAAAGGAUACAGGACAAAUGAAAAAGGAAUGAUGCUCAUAUUGUUGCACGCCAAUGAAUAAGUGGAGUAACGCCGGGAUCAGUUACAAAGAAAUAAAAUGCACGAAAACCUUCAAUAAAUUGACACUUGGAAAUAUUAUGACCACCUACAACUCAGAAGCCAAGAGAACCAAUUUUGCAAAAUUCAUAAUGUUAUGCCAUCAUCGCCCCAUUGGUCUCUCAUACAUCUUUGUGAAUAAAAUUGUGAUACUGAUAUUGUAUUUAAUCAUGCAAUCGUAAAACCUUUACAAUGAAAAUACCGCUAUGCCUUUUGAACUUUGCGUUAUUAUUACAAGUGUUUGCUAAUUAUUCAACUAUAACAACAUGAAGAGCAUUCACUGUGAAAUUUUAUUCUCAUUUGUAUUUUCAAUCAUUGAGAAGCGAUAUACGUAUAUCUGAUAUAUAUGAAACAAAAAUAUUAAAAAACAAAUUGGCGAAAACGUUAUUUUACAGGUAUAUAUUUGUCCAUAUUUUGUUUUUAAUGAUUAGUAUUAUCAAAUACUCAAUACUCCCGUGUUCUUGUUUCUGGUUUAAACGUUUAAAUUAUUAUUUCCGUAGAAACAAUUAAUUCGAAAUACGAAAAAGGCUUUAAUAUAUUUUCUAAUAAUACACAGCAAAAUACAUCCUAUUUACUGUAAAAUAAUACAACUAUGCCUAUAUUACAAUCACUUUAUUUUAGGCAACCGUUCCAUUUCUAAAGUGUCCUAUCCUUUCUAGUGUGUUUUAUUAGGCAAACACAUAUAAAUAAAGUCAAGAACUCUAUGCAACUUUCAGUCCCACAUUUCACACACUGAUCACUGGCGCAUUGCCGAGGCUAUGCAACUUGUAGCCAAAAUAGAAUUGUUAGACCUAUCAAGACCCAACUGUUGGUACCAAUAAAUACCCGUAAUAAUUAUAAUGCUUUCACCUCAUUCUUGUCUCGUGUUUUUUGUCGUGAUUUAUAUGAGAUUGUAUUUUAUAUACGAGCCAUUCAACAAUCAUAUUGUUUUACUUUUGGUAUCAUGUAACUCUUAUUUACUUACGCUUACGCUAAUUUACUUGCAAAUUGUUUUUGUAUUGUUCAUAUCGUGAAUUUGAAAAAUAAUAUCAUGAUAAUAAACUUGUUGGUGUAUAUAAUAGUUUUUCUUACAUAAAAAUGCACUUUGAAUGUUAUAUAAUGAUGUAGUGAGGAACACGCGAAUCUAUAAAGAGAAUACAGUUACUAUACAAGAUAUUUAGAUACUUUACAUGAAAAUAGUGAUGGUAAAAUUCGCCAUAAAUCAAUUAUGUCA